rnacentral:rRNA from 1 species
UACGGAGGGGGGUUAGCGUUGUUCGGAAUUACUGGGCGUAAAGCGCGCGUAGGCGGACUGGAAAGUUGGGGGUGAAAUCCCGGGGCUCAUCCCCGGAACGGCCUCCAAAACUAUCAGUCUGGAGUUCGAGAGAGGUGAGUGGAAUUCCGAGUGUAGAGGUGAAAUUCGUAGAUAUUCGGAGGAACACCAGUGGCGAAGGCGGCUCACUGGCUCGAUACUGACGCUGAGGUGCGAAAGCGUGGGGAGCAAACAGG